rnacentral:lncRNA from 1 species
ACCUGAAGGCAGAGACUGAAACAGAAGCUAUGGAAGAAUGCUGCUUACUGGUUUGGCUUCCAUGCCUUGCACAGCUUUGCUUAAACAACAGAUCCAGAUGGCCACGUGUGGCAUUGGUAGUACAGUGGACUGGCCUUUGCUCCUCAAUUAUUAAACAACAGCAAUAAAAAUAUCCCAGGAAUAUGCUCACAGGCCAGUCUGAUAGUUCCUCAAGUGAAAUUUCCCCUUCCCAGAUGAUUCUAAUUUAUCUCAAGUAGACGAAACCUAACCAGCAUCUCUCUCGUCAGGGAGAAUGAUACCCUGUUCACAAGAGAAUAACUAAAAUUUCUGUCAACUGAUUUAUCUAGAGAGAGUCCAUUCUUGAAUAUGAUUGGUAUUAAUAGACUGGAAAUAAAAUUUGGUACAUAAGUGAUGAGCAUACCUGUUGAUCACUGAAGGUCACUAGUGAUUUCUUUUCAUUGUUGAAAUGAAGUGCUUUUCUUAAGACAAGGAAUAAGGACUUACUGGUAAUAUUUUCAUUUAAAAUAGUUUAGUGCACUUGAUAAGGUGUAUCAUGCACAGUUGGCUCUCUGUGUCCAUGUUUUCUGUACCUUUGGCUCAACUAGCUUCAAAUGGAAAAUAUUAGAAAAAGAAAUUGUGUCACUAUUGCCUAAUCAAAGUAUUGUAAAAUGUAUUUGUGAAGUAUUUUGGUGUUCAAACUAAUUUAGAGACUAUUUAACAUCAGCUGCAGGAUAUAUACAGAUUACUUGCACUGUGCAAUUCUCCAUAUGCUGAUUGAGAAGCCAGACUUAAGUUGCUAUAAGGUUCCUAGAGCAAGCUGGAUAGAUUCCAAACGAUGAUAAUAUACUCUAGUGUGUAGAGUGAAAAUGAGCCUCUGAUUAUUGAUAGUUCUCUCAAUAUUUUGGGGAGUUAAGACCAUAUUUAUUUAUAUCAAUCCCCUUAAUACUUAUAUCAUAAAGUUUUAAUCAUAAUGAUUCUUUAAUUUUUUUUUUUUCUGACAGGGCCUUACAAUGUAGCACUAGCUGGCUUGUAACGCGAUAUGUAGAUAGGUGGGCUGACCUCUCACAAAGAUAUGCUUGCUUCUACCUUUCUCAAACUGAGAGAAGGUGAGGCAAAGCAUUAGAAUGAUCAUGGACAUAACUUCAGUAUAAGACAGUAUACUGGCCCCAGAAAGCUCUCAACUAAGAGAGCAGGAGAUAUAACCUGUGUAGUAGAAUAUCAGCCCCUAGACAUUGGCUAUGUUCAAACAGCUGGAAAAUGAUUCACUACCUAAUAUUAAAAUGAGGAAAAUUAACAUAGCAGGUAGAAAUCAGUAUUUAGUUGACCUUAGUGGAAAAAUGCAGGAACUUUCAUUGGAGAGCCAAAUUAUUCAUAAGUGUCAUUGUAUGUACAAGAGAGAUAUGACUGAGAAACAUGGAGAGGUGACUCUACACAAAGACUCUAAACACUAUGGCUGCCUCUGAAGAUGGAAGCAAGAAAUCUUCCUGGGAUAUGAAAAAGCCAAGGAAAGAAAAUGCACUGUAGAAACACCCAAAGGAAUGCAGUUCCAGUAGUACCAUGGGGGCCAAUUCUAGCAUCUCAUGAACUAGUUUUAAUGAAGAAACUGAUAGUUGAUUAAUUAGAACAGAUGAUGUUUCUAAAAGACAGUUUCCCUCCAUUAAAAGAUGAAAAGUAGAAUAAAAGCCCUAUUGGGAAUGAAUGAGGAAGAGAAAAGGUGUUAAACUGUGAAAUAUCACCAUACAUACUUUGUUGAUUCUACAGGCAUUUCAUUUCAGAAUUUAACCUUGUUAAACCAUUACAUGAGUUCAAAGUGACAGAUGGGGCAGGGAAGGAAACUGCUUUCAGCUCUAAUGUAACUUAGCUGAUUUUUUGUAUUUUUAUAGAUCUUGUGAGAUAAGACAUAUUUGUCCCACUUUUAUUAGCAUCAGUUUAACAGAUAUUGAUAAAUGUUGAUAAUCUGCAUAUUGGUAAACAGUAUUGUUCAUGUCAUAUGUAUAAUGCUGCUAUUCUCAGGCUUCAGGUCAUUUCUCAAAUCCAUUAGCUCACUAGCAUAUUGAGAAGCUGUUGAAAUGGUGGCCUCUCUGCUCCUUCUUGUCUUGAGUCAGGGCAUACACAAACAAAUACAUUUUCUAAGUGAAUUUCUGAUAUACUGAUACCUCUGCCAGGCUUUCUGCCAUCAGCCUUCAUAAACCUGUCUGUCUACAGAAUGAAAUCCAUUUCUUUUUAAACAAGAAAUGUUCCUUGAUACGUUAGUUGGAUUUUUUUUUUUAUGUCUUUAAGACAAAUCAAAACAAAUACUAUGGCAGGGCAUGGUGUUAUAUGCCUUUAAUCCCUAUACUUAGCAGGCAGAGAUUGGAGUAUUUCUGUGAGUUCAAGACCAGUCUGGUCUAUAUUGAGUUCCAGACCAGCCAGAGAAACACACUGAGAUUCUGUCUCCAAAAAAAAGACC